GACGAACCGUGCGAACGUUGUUCGGAAUCACUGGGCUUAAAGGGUGCGUAGGCGGGUUGUCCAGUCUGGGGUGAAAUCCCACGGCUCAACCGUUGAAUUGCCUCAGAUCCUGACGACCUCGAGGGAGGUAGGGGCGAGCGGAACUGUGGGUGGAGCGGUGAAAUGCGUUGAUAUCCACAGGAACUCCGGUGGCGAAGGCGGCUCGCUUGACCUCUUCUGACGCUGAGGCACGAAAGCUAGGGGAGCAAACGGG
rnacentral:rRNA from 1 species